GUGAGAGAACAUAUUCAGCACGUUAGGAUAGGUCCUCAGCCUUCUUCUUAAGGUGAGGGCCUACUUAGAACAAAGACUUUGUUGGGUUACCUUGCCUUAUGCUCCUGAGUGGAUCUUAUCGUUAUACACUAGGACUUUGGUAGGAGGGUCAGGAAAGCAGGAUUGAGACACCAAAAGGGACUAUGACCAUUAACAAAAUGGAAAGAGGUGUUGGGGGAGUGGAGAACUUGGAUGCUUAAAAAAAAAAAGUCAUAUCCAGCCUGAGAUUAAUGCCAGAAUCUCUCCCGUAUCCCAGGAGUUACUAUUUUGUCCCCAAGGCAAGUACCCUAGACCAGCACAUUAGGAAUCCCAUGAGGAUCUUGUUAAACCACUGGUUCUGUUUCAGAAGAUCUGGGGUGGGGGCUGAGAUUAUUUCUAACGAGCACCCCAAGGCUGCUGCUGCUGGUCCAGGCAUGCUACUUUGGGGAGCAAGGAACUUAAUACACUGGGAGUCAGGACACCUGGAUUGAAGGCCCUGCUUCAACAUUCUGUGUGGGUUUAAAUAAAAUCUCAUGGCAAAUUUGCAAAUACAUAAAUUUAAGUCCACAUCAAUCUUUUUUUUCUCCUUACUUCUUUAGUUGUUGAAGAUAACAGAUGCAAUUAUCUACUGGAAGCAGAACACAGGGCAACAGAGAUUUUUACCCAGAAGGGCCUCAGGUGGUAAAGACAGCACAGGAGUUGACAGGAGGGUGGAAAUGCCCACCGUUCUACCUACAAUCAGACAGCAGAACAGUUUCUGGUUCACAGUAAGCACUAAAAAGACAAGAAAGGAGAAACAGCAGAGGAGAGAAAAUUGAUGCCUGGACCUAAGGCUCUAAGAAGGAGAUAAACAACAACAUCAAUUGAGAGAUGGAAGUGAUAUGGACAGUGGGGAGGAAAUAACAGGCCUGAGUCAGAUUCACCAUAAAUUGGAAAACAUGGGGUAAGAGACUGGACAGUUUUCAAAAUGCUGUGAUUGGAUAAAAAGAAAAAUCAGCAGGUACAUGAUGGAAAAUGAUUCUUUGGCACAAAGAAGUCUGAUUAAGCUGAAGACAUAUUUCCUGGUGUUUGUCAGAUUACGUUAAAAUAAGUUGGACUAGUAAAGAGCAGUAUGGUUCACUCAGAUAACUGAAUUUCCCAUUUUCCCAUCAGCACGUGUUGUACUUCAUUUGACCUAGUGUGAGCUAAGAAAACAUUCAAGAUGUAGUUCUAGGAUAAUGCAUAUUCACUGUAAUUGUGAUUUAGUUCUUGCCUCAAUUAAAAUGUGAGCUCCUUGAGGGCAAUUCUUAUUUAUUCUUGCAUCCCCAUGGGGUAGCAUAAUCUCUGCCACAUGGUGGUUACUUUAUUCAGCUUAGUGUUAAAAAGGGGACUUGCAAGAUUACCGUCUCAUCCUUUCAAAGUAAGAUUGAUCAAAAAGCCUUAUUAUAGAAUUAAACAUUCCUUGCAUGUCCAUGCAAACAAGAUGAUUUUGAGCAGGAACUGCCUUGGAUUUGUGCCUUGUGCACUUCUCUGUAGCGCUUUUCACGUAGACGUUGAUGUGAAUGGCACCCCCUAGCGUUGUGCAAGGCAUAAGCUGCACAAUCAAAUACAGUGGGUUUUUGAAAAGCACUCUGUAUGGUACUAAAAUCGACUGGUGCAUGGGGCC